CCAUUGUCAAUCCAAACUAAUAAUUGUCGUUAUAUAUCAUGCUCUCAUAAAAGUUACCUUUUCUUAACCGUAGCUUUUACCUUAUGUAAAAGUCAAAACAAUUAUCUAUCUUUUUUACCAGUCGUCGUACUUUAAGUUAUGGCCUCCUUUUUUGUUCAAGAUGUUCUACAUCGUUGAACUCUUUAAUAUUUGUUUUUUUAUAUUCUCCUACGGCUUUCGCGAAUUACUCAACAGAAUCGUUGAAAACUUUUUAUAUCAUUGAUUCGUUUAUAUCAUUGAUUUUGUUUCUUUUACCCUGUAGUUUUUCUUAAAACUUUUUCCAUGUUUGGGUUGAUUAUCAGAAUUUUUUGUUUUUUUUUUCAUAAUCUCCUCGAUCAUACUAAUCUUCUCACCUCCAAUUAGUUGAUAUUUUUAAGUUUCCAAAAGGCUUCCAGUUUUUGAUGAUUACGCCGUAAUGCGGAUCUUAACCAAAACACA
rnacentral:lncRNA from 1 species